UACAUGGGGUGCAAACGUUGCUCGGAAUUAUUGGGCGUAAAGCGCGCGUAGGCGGUUACUCAAGUCGGAUGUGAAAGCCCUCGGCUCAACUGAGGAAGUGCACCCGAAACUGAGUAGCUAGAGUACUAAAGAGGGUCGCGGAAUUCCCGGUGUAGAGGUGAAAUUCGUAGAUAUCGGGAGGAACACCGGUGGCGAAGGCGGCGACCUGGGUAGAUACUGACGCUGAGGCGCGAAAGCGUGGGGAGCAAACAGG
rnacentral:rRNA from 1 species